AAGACUAUACUUUCAGGGAUCAUUUCUAUAGUUUGUUACUAGAGAAGUCUCUCUGAAUGUGUAGAGCACGGGAAACCACCAGGAGGAGGUGCAGCUUUUCUCCUGAGCGUGAAGCCGCCUCUCGGUGUUGCUUAUUGCCACUUGCCUUUGAUGAUGGUUCUUCUCUCCCUUUGUGGGGGUAAGAGGGAGAGAAUGCAGUCUGAGUGAU